rnacentral:rRNA from 1 species
UACAGAGGCCUCGAGCGUUAGGCGGAAUCACUGGGCUUAAAGCGUGUGUAGGCGGACCGUUAAGUGUCUCGUGAAAUCCCCCGGCUCAACCGGGGAAUUGCUGGGCAUACUGGCGGUCUUGAGCAGUCUAGGGGCAGAUGGAACAAGUGGUGGAGCGGUGAAAUGCGUAGAUAUCACUUGGAACGCCAAAGGUGAAGACAGUCUGCUGGGGACUUGCUGACGCUGGGACACGAAAGCCAGGGGAGCGAACGGG